rnacentral:rRNA from 1 species
CAUGUGGUUUAAUUCGAAGCAACGCGAAGAACCUUACCAGGCCUUGACAUCCAAUGAACUUUCCAGAGACGGAUUGGUGCCUUCGGGAACAUUGAGACAGGUGCUGCAUGGCUGUCGUCAGCUCGUGUCGAGAGAUGUUGGGUUAAGUCCCGUAACGAGCGCAACCCUUGUCCUUAGUUACCAGCACGUCAUGGUGGGCACUCUAAGGAGACUGCCGGUGACAAACCGGAGGAAGGUGGGGAUGACGUCAAGUCAUCAUGGCCCUUACGGCCUGGGCUACACACGUGCUACAAUGGUCGGUACAGAGGGUUGCCAAGCCGCGAGGUGGAGCUAAUCCCAGAAAACCGAUCGUAGUCCGGAUCGCAGUCUGCAACUCGACUGCGUGAAGUCGGAAUCGCUAGUAAUCGCGAAUCAGAAUGUCGCGGUGAAUACGUUCCCGGGCCUUGUACACACCGCCCGUCACACCAUGGGAGUGGGUUGCACCAGAAGUAGCUAGUCUAACCUUCG